rnacentral:snoRNA from 1 species
UUGCCAGGUAGGAUAAUCCUUACCUGUUCCUCCUUUUGGAGGGCACAAUAGAACAUAAUGAUUGGAGCUCGCGUGAUUUAUGAUUAAGGGCUCUCCAUAAUCAGGACUUGCAACACCCUGAUUGCUCCUAUCUGAU